UGAAUGAAGACCUGCAGCAGGGUGCCCAAGCAGGAAGUGAGCUGGGUGACAAAUUGGAGCAGAACACUAUCAUGUCAGAAAGACCAAAGCCCUCCGGUGCCCAGGAAGGAAAACGAGGAAGAGAAGAGGAGGAAAAACGGGAAAAAGACAGAGGUAAUAAUCACUAAUCAGAGUAAUUACCGUGUUACUGUCUGUGGUCCGUGGAGCAGAGUGUUACUAGCU